rnacentral:rRNA from 2 species
GAUGAACGCUGGCGGCGUGCCUAAUACAUGCAAGUCGAACGAGUUCUGAUUAUUGAAAGGUGCUUGCAUCUUGAUUUAAUUUUGAACGAGUGGCGGACGGGUGAGUAACACGUGGGUAACCUGCCCUUAAGUGGGGGAUAACAUUUGGAAACAGAUGCUAAUACCGCAUAAAUCCAAGAACCGCAUGGUUCUUGGCUGGAAGAUGGCGUAAGCUAUCGCUUUUGGAUGGACCCGCGGCGUAUUAGCUAGUUGGUGAGGUAACGGCUCACCAAGGCAAUGAUACGUAGCCGAACUGAGAGGUUGAUCGGCCACAUUGGGACUGAGACACGGCCCAAACUCCUACGGGAGGCAGCAGUAGGGAAUCUUCCACAAUGGACGCAAGUCUGAUGGAGCAACGCCGCGUGAGUGAAGAAGGCUUUCGGGUCGUAAAACUCUGUUGUUGGAGAAGAAUGGUCGGCAGAGUAACUGUUGUCGGCGUGACGGUGUCCAACCAGAAAGCCACGGCUAACUACGUGCCAGCAGCCGCGGUAAUACGUAGGUGGCAAGCGUUAUCCGGAUUUAUUGGGCGUAAAGCGAGCGCAGGCGGUUUUUUAAGUCUGAUGUGAAAGCCCUCGGCUUAACCGAGGAAGUGCAUCGGAAACUGGGAAACUUGAGUGCAGAAGAGGACAGUGGAACUCCAUGUGUAGCGGUGAAAUGCGUAGAUAUAUGGAAGAACACCAGUGGCGAAGGCGGCUGUCUGGUCUGUAACUGACGCUGAGGCUCGAAAGCAUGGGUAGCGAACAGG